UUUGAUCAGGCUCAGAUUGAACGCUGGCGGCAGGCCUAACACAUGCAAGUCGAACGGAAACAUGUCUAGCUUGCUAGAUGAUGUCGAGUGGCGGACGGGUGAGUAAUGCUUGGGAACUUGCCUUUGCGAGGGGGAUAACAGUUGGAAACGACUGCUAAUACCGCAUAAUGUCUUCGGACCAAACGGGGCUUAGGCUCCGGCGCAAAGAGAGGCCCAAGUGAGAUUAGCUAGUUGGUGAGGUAAAGGCUCACCAAGGCAACGAUCUCUAGCUGUUCUGAGAGGAAGAUCAGCCACACUGGGACUGAGACACGGCCCAGACUCCUACGGGAGGCAGCAGUGGGGAAUAUUGCACAAUGGGGGAAACCCUGAUGCAGCCAUGCCGCGUGUGUGAAGAAGGCCUUCGGGUUGUAAAGCACUUUCAGUUGUGAGGAAAAGUUAGUAGUUAAUACCUGCUAGCCGUGACGUUAACAACAGAAGAAGCACCGGCUAACUCCGUGCCAGCAGCCGCGGUAAUACGGAGGGUGCGAGCGUUAAUCGGAAUUACUGGGCGUAAAGCGCACGCAGGCGGUUUGUUAAGCUAGAUGUGAAAGCCCCGGGCUCAACCUGGGACGGUCAUUUAGAACUGGCAGACUAGAGUCUUGGAGAGGGGAGUGGAAUUCCA
rnacentral:rRNA from 1 species